GAUGAACGCUACGCGGAUAGGCUUAACACAGUGCAAGUCGAACGGUCCUUCGGGAGUAGUGGCGGAACGGGUCGAGUAACACGUGGGAACGUACCCUUAGGCUCGGAACAACACAGGGAAACUUGUGCUAAUACCGGAUAAGCCCUUCGGGGGAAAGAUUUAUCGCCUUUGGAGCGGCCCGCGUCUGAUUAGCUUGUUGGUGAGGUAAUGGCUCACCAAGGCUACGAUCAGUAGCUGGUCUGAGAGGAUGGCCAGCCACACUGGGACUGAGACACGGCCCAG
rnacentral:rRNA from 1 species